rfam:Bombyx mori DNA, contig: Bm_scaf99_contig35801, strain: p50T/Dazao, build 2, whole genome shotgun sequence.
GACUCGUUAGCUCAGUAGGUUAGAGCGCCGAUAUAAAAUUUAUCUUGAUCAUCGGAGGGCGGAGGUUCAAAUCCUUCACGAGUCA